rnacentral:lncRNA from 1 species
CAUCCUACAUCAAGAUGCUCCAACAACUGAGUCGGAGAAGGGUCAGCAAAGUAAGGAUCAGUAGAUGAUGAUUUACAAAAUACAACACCAGGAUUUGGAAAUAUGAGUUCUAAUGUUGACAACCAAAAAUCCACAACAAUCUUAAUUUGUUCUCUGAAGUAGAAUUAGGGUAACCGGGGCUUUUUUAAUUUGCGGAUUGGAGUCGUGGGAGAGGGAGAGAAAGAGAACUGAAGAAUUCCCUCGCAGGGGAGGAGCGAGCAGAUUUUUUAUUUUUUUUAGAACAACGAUCUGGCUUUAUUUAUUCAACGAAAGUACAUCAG